AGUCGAGGGGUAACAGGGAUUGCUUGCAAUCCGCUGACGACCGGCGCACGGGUGCGUAACGCGUAUGCAACCUACCUUCUACAGGGGGAUAGUCAAUAGAAAUGUUGAAUAAUACCCCAUACGAUCAUUAAUCUGCAUGGAUUGAUGAAGAAAGUUCCGGCGGUAGAAGAUGGGCAUGCGUCCUAUUAGUUAGUUGGUAAGGUAACGGCUUACCAAGACAUCGAUAGGUAGGGGUCCUGAGAGGGAGAUCCCCCACACUGGUACUGAGACACGGACCAGACUCCUACGGGAGGCAGCAGUGAGGAAUAUUGGACAAUGGAGGCAACUCUGAUCCAGCCAUGCCGCGUGCAGGAAGACUGCCCUAUGGGUUGUAAACUGCUUUUAUACAGGAAGAAUAGUACCUACGUGUAGGUAUUUGACGGUACUGUACGAAUAAGGAUCGGCUAACUCCGUGCCAGCAGCCGCGGUAAUACGGAGGAUCCAAGCGUUAUCCGGAAUCAUUGGGUUUAAAGGGUCCGUAGGCGGUCUGAUGAGUCAGAGGUGGAAUCCUGCAGCUCAACUGUAGCAUUGCCUCUGAUACUGUCAGACUUGAGUUAUUGUGAAGUAGUUAGAAUGUGUGGUGUAGCGGUGAAAUGCAUAGAUAUCACACAGAAUACCGAUUGCGAAGGCAGAUUACUAACAAUAUACUGACGCUGAGGGACGAAAGCGUGGGUAGCGAACAGGAUUAGAUACCCUGGUAGUCCACGCCGUAUACGAUGGAUACUAGCUGUUCGAUCAACAUUGGUUGGUUGAGUGGCUAAGCGAAAGUGAUAAGUAUCCCACCUGGGGAGUACGCUCGCAAGAGUGAAAC
rnacentral:rRNA from 1 species